UACGAAGGGGGCUAGCGUUGCUCGGAAUCACUGGGCGUAAAGCGCACGUAGGCGGACUCUUAAGUCGGUGGUGAAAUCCUGGAGCUCAACUCCAGAACUGCCUUCGAUACUGAGAGUCUCGAGUCCGGGAGAGGUGAGUGGAACUGCGAGUGUAGAGGUGAAAUUCGUAGAUAUUCGCAAGAACACCAGUGGCGAAGGCGGCUCACUGGCCCGAUACUGACGCUGAGGCACGAAAGCGUGGGGAGCGAACAGG
rnacentral:rRNA from 1 species